CAAUAGCGUAUAUUAAAGUUGUUGCAGUUAAAAAGCUCGUAGUUGAAUUUUUGCUUGCCGCCGAUGUCGGAACUUCCGUACGUUCGGCGGCGUGCAUCCUUGGGUGGAACCUGUGUGGCAUUAGGUUGUCGUGCAGGGGAUGCUCAUCGUUUACUGUGAAAAAAUUAGAGUGUUCAAAGCAGGCUUACGCCGUUGAAUAUAUUAGCAUGGAAUAAUAAGAUAGGACCUUGGUACUAUUUUGUUGGUUUGCGCACCGAGGUAAUGAUUAACAGGGACAGUUGGGGGUAUUCGUAUUCCAUUGUCAGAGGUGAAAUUCUUGGAUUUCUGGAAGACGAACUACUGCGAAAGCAUUUACCAAGGAUGUUUNCAUCA
rnacentral:rRNA from 1 species